CAAUAGCAUAUAUUAACGUUGUUGCAGUUGAAAAGCUCGUAGUUGAACUUUUGGUAGGAGCGACCUGGCCUUGGGCGCAUGCCCUUGUUUGCCGUGUGUCGUAUCUGGCCAUCCUUUUCCGUUUCGGCGGGAAUCUUUUACUGUGAGUAAACUGGAGUGCUCAAAACAAGACGUUUGUUUGGUACAUUAAAGCAUGGAAUAAUAAGAUAGGACCUGGUUACUAUUUUGUUGGUUUGCAUAGCUAGGUAAUGAUUAACAGGGACAGUUGGGGGUAUUCGUAUUUAAUUGUCAGGGGUGAAAUUCUUGGAUUUAUGAAAGACGAACGACUGCGAAAGCAUUUACCAAGGAUGUUUUCAUUAA
rnacentral:rRNA from 1 species